ACCGCAGACCGCCUUAUCGCUGUUCAGAAAUGAAAAGAGGAAAGUCCGGACACCAAAGAGUAGCAUAGCGGAUAACAUCCGUCGUUCCGAUUUAUCGGAAAAGGACAAGUGCAACAGAAAGUAUGUACAGGUUAAGCUGUAGUGAAACCAGGUAAACUCUAUGCGGUGAAAUUUCAAGUAUAUCGACAUUUAAGGAUUACUCGUCCGUUGUCGAAGGGUAGAAAGAUGGAACUUGUGAGCAAUUGCAAGUCUAGAUAAAUGAUAAGGCAUCAAUUUAUUGGUGACAGAAUCCGGCUUAUAGGUCUGCUUUUUUA
rnacentral:RNase_P_RNA from 1 species